UUCUGUUUGAUCCUGGCGGAGGCUACUGCUAUUGGGAUUCGAUUAAGCCAUGCAAGUCGAACGAAUUUAGAUUCGUGGCGUACGGCUCAGUAACACGUGGAUAACCUACCCUUAGGACCGGGAUAACCCUGGGAAACUGGGGCUAAUACUGGAUAGAUGAUUUUUCCUGGAAUGGUUUUUUGUUUAAAUGUUUUUUCGCCUAAGGAUGGGUCUGCGGCAGAUUAGGUAGUUGGUUAGGUAAUGGCUUACCAAGCCUAUGAUCUGUACGGGUUGUGAGAGCAAGAGCCCGGAGAUGGAACCUGAGACAAGGUUCCAGGCCCUACGGGGCGCAGCACGCGCGCAAAACCUCCGCAAUGUGAGAAAUCGCGACGGGGGGGAUCCCCAGUGCCAUUCCUAAACGGGAUGGCUUUUUCUUAAGUGUAAAAAGCUUUUGGAAAUAGAGCUGGGNNCAGACCGGUGCCAGCCGCCGCGGUAACACCGGCAGCUCUAGUGGUAGCUGUGUUUAUUGGGGCUUAAAGCGUUCGUAGCCGGGUUGGAUAGUCACUGGUGAAAUCCUGUAGCUUAAGGGUGGGAAAUGCUGGUGAUACUGUUGAAACUUGAGUCGGNNAGAGGNUAGCGUACUCCAGGGUAGAGGUGAAAUCUGUAUCCUGGNAGGAC
rnacentral:rRNA from 1 species